UGAGCAAUCUGCCCUUCUCAUCGGAAUAAGCGUUGGAAACGACGUCUAAUGCCGAAUACGACCUCCUUUCGCAUGAUCGGAGGUGGAAAGCUCCGGCGGAGAAGGAUGAGCUCGCGGCCUAUCAGCUAGUUGGUGUGGGUAACGCCACAAGGCAACGAUGCGUAGCCGACCUGAGAGGGUGAUCGGCCACAGUUGGAACUGAGACACGGUCCAGACCUCGACGGGA
rnacentral:rRNA from 1 species